rnacentral:lncRNA from 1 species
UGCUGAUCAAUAGUUGGAUGACUUGAUAAUGCAGGGGGAUCUUAGUCGAGUAUAUAGCCUAUCUUCUUGAAAUUCAAAACUAUUCUGAAGUUUCUAAGUCAGUCUUUGUAGUUCAUACCGGUCAAUCGGUUAGACUCAAGAAUUCGAACUAAAGGAUUGGAAGCUAACAUGAUGAACUGCGAGAGUAAAGAUUUUAGUUAGAUAUUUAUACUU